rnacentral:tRNA from 1 species
GAAGGUAUAGCUCAGUGGUAGAGCAUUCGACUGCAGAUCGCGAGGCCCCCGGUUCGAACCCGGGUGCUCCCU